GAUCCUGGCUCAGAGCGAACGCUGGCGGCAGGCCUAACACAUGCAAGUCGAACGAACUCUUCGGAGUUAGUGGCGGACGGGUGAGUAACACGUGGGAACGUGCCUUUAGGUUCGGAAUAACUCAGGGAAACUUGUGCUAAUACCGAAUGUGCCCUUCGGGGGAAAGAUUUAUCGCCUUUAGAGCGGCCCGCGUCUGAUUAGCUAGUUGGUGAGGUAAAGGCUCACCAAGGCGACGAUCAGUAGCUGGUCUGAGAGGAUGAUCAGCCACAUUGGGACUGAGACACGGCCCAAACUCCUACGGGAGGCAGCAGUGGGGAAUCUUGCGCAAUGGGCGAAAGCCUGACGCAGCCAUGCCGCGUGAAUGAUGAAGGUCUUAGGAUUGUAAAAUUCUUUCACCGGGGACGACAAUGACGGUACCCGGAGAAGAAGCCCCGGCUAACUUCGUG
rnacentral:rRNA from 1 species